UCGUUAAAACCUCAAACAGAAGAGGAAGAACCCUGGAAAUGGAUUCUACAACUAGCAAACGACCAAGCGCAACUCAAAGCCCACUAAAGUGGCACAAAGGAGAAGGUUUUAUCAGCGGCAUCUCGAGAGUCAAAAAGAAAAUUUAAAAGUCGGUCAGGGACCCGAAUAUCUAUUGGUUACGCUCUGGAAGAAUGAGGCUGGUUCAAUUCAAUUUGGGCUGCCACCUGAAAAGGAUGCAGACAUGGCUCAUUUUCUAGUGACCAGCUACCGGAAGAAGCAGGCUCCUGAAACUGCAAUUCAGGGAGGUAAUGUGCAGUCAACCUCGACACCCAGUAAGAGAACAGCAGCUAAAAUGUUGCAUCGAUUAUCUCCAACUGAACCUGUGUCUGAGGGGGAAGAUUUUCUAAUGGCUGGUGUUGAGGCCUUAGCUGAUGACCAAGAUUUGGAUCCUUUUGAAGAAAGGCUGGGAUCCUAAAGGGAAUUUCCAUCCUACUUGUGUGGCUGAAGGACAUCUUCAACCAAUUUUGGUACAUUUGCCAGAAAGCACAACAUCGUGAUAUGUUUAAUGACAUGUGGGUGGGUGUGCUUCACCAUGUCACAGGGAAGCAUGAAUGGACCCGUGGCAAAUGUGACCAUGGACCACUUGAUGCAACGACCAGUGAUAAAGAGCUCAUGGUGCCAUGAUCUCCACCACACGAGGCUCUUCAACGAAUCAUGUUCAACAGACGCUGGUUGAAGGAUGUCACCAAUCUGACCUUUAGGCCCCAGCUACGUGAAGCAUCAAAAGACAGGAAUGACUUCUUUCAUGCACACAGAUUUAUUAGAAA